GAUGAACGCUGGCGGCGUGCCUAAUACAUGCAAGUCGAGCGAAUGGAUUAAGAGCUUGCUCUUAUGAAGUUAGCGGCGGACGGGUGGGUAACACGUGGGUAACCUGCCCAUAAGACUGGGAUAACUCCGGGAAACCGGGGCUAAUACCGGAUAACAUUUUGAACCGCAUGGUUCGAAAUUGAAAGGCGGCUUCGGCUGUCCCUUAUGGAUGGACCCGCGUCGCAUUAGCUAGUUGGUGAGGUAACGGCUCACCAAGGCAACGAGGCGUAGCCGACCUGAGAGGGUGAUCGGCCACACUGGGACUGAGACACGGCCCAGACUCCUACGGGAGGCAGCAGUAGGGAAUCUUCCGCAAUGGACGAAAGUCUGACGGAGCAACGCCGCGUGAGUGAUGAAGGCUUUCGGGUCGUAAAACUCUGUUGUUAGGGAAGAACAAGUGCUAGUUGAAUAAGCUGGCACCUUGACGGUACCUAACCAGAAAGCCACGGCUAACUACGUGCCAGCCGCCGCAGUAA
rnacentral:rRNA from 1 species